UGUGUGUGUGUUAGUGUGUGUGUGUGUUAGUGUGUGUGUGUGUGUUAGCGUGUGUGUGUUAACACACACCCUAACACACACACACUAACACACACACACU